AGAGUUUGAUCAUGGCUCAGGAUGAACGCUAGCGAUAGGCCUAACACAUGCAAGUCGAGGGGCAGCACAUGAAGUAGCAAUACGGAUGGUGGCGACCGGCGCACGGGUGAGUAACGCGUAUGCAACCUGCCUACAACAGGGGAAUAACCCGUUGAAAGAUGGACUAAUACCCCAUAACACAGGGAUCCCGCAUGGGAAUAUUUGUUAAAGAUUUAUCGGUUGUAGAUGGGCAUGCGUUCCAUUAGCUGGUUGGUGAGGUAACGGCUCACCAAGGCAACGAUGGAUAGGGGAACUGAGAGGUUUAUCCCCCACACUGGUACUGAGACACGGACCAGACUCCUACGGGAGGCAGCAGUGAGGAAUAUUGGUCAAUGGACGCAAGUCUGAACCAGCCACGUCGCAUGAAGGAAGACGGCCCUACGGGUUGUAAACUUCUUUUGUAAGGGAAUAAAGUGCAGUACGUGUACUGUUUUGCAUGUACCUUACGAAUAAGGAUCGGCUAACUCCGUGCCAGCAGCCGCGGUAAUACGGAGGAUCCGAGCGUUAUCCGGAUUUAUUGGGUUUAAAGGGUGCGCAGGCGGGAGAUUAAGUCGGCGGUGAAAUUUUGCAGCUCAACUGUAAAAGUGCCUUCGAAACUGGUUUUCUUGAGUGUGGAUGAAGUAGGCGGAAUUUGUGGUGUAGCGGUGAAAUGCAUAGAUAUCACGAGGAACUCCGAUUGCGCAGGCAGCUUACUAAACCAUAACUGACGCUCAGGCACGAAGGCGUGGGGAUCAAACAGGAUUAGAUACCCUGGUAGUC
rnacentral:rRNA from 1 species